rnacentral:rRNA from 1 species
UCGAGUGGCGAACGGGUGAGUAACGCGUGAGGAACCUGCCUCAAAGAGGGGGACAACAGUUGGAAACGACUGCUAAUACCGCAUAAGCCCACGGCUCGGCAUCGAGCAGGGGGAAAAGGAGCAAUCCGCUUUGAGAUGACCCGCGUUGGAUUAGCUGGUUGGUGGGGUAACGGCCCACCAAGGCGACGAUCCAUAACCGGCCUGAGAGGGUGAACGGCCACAUUGGGACUGAGACACGGCCCACACUCCUACGGGAGGCAGCAGUGGGGAAUAUUGCACAAUGGGGGAAACCCUGAUGCAGCGACGCCGCGUGAAGGAAGAAGUAUCUCGGUAUGUAAACUUCUAUCAGCAGGGAAGAUAGUGACGGUACCUGACUAAGAAGCCCCGGCUAACUACGUGCCAGCAGCCGCGGUAAUACGUAGGGGGCAAGCGUUAUCCGGAUUUACUGGGUGUAAAGGGAGCGUAGACGGUGUGGCAAGUCUGAUGUGAAAGGCAUGGGCUCAACCUGUGGACUGCAUUGGAAACUGUCAUACUUGAGUGCCGGAGGGGUAAGCGGAAUUCCUAGUGUAGCGGUGAAAUGCGUAGAUAUUAGGAGGAACACCAGUGGCGAAGGCGGCUUACUGGACGGUAACUGACGUUGAGGCUCGAAAGCGUGGGGAGCGAACAGGAUUAGAUACCCUGGUAGUCCACGCCGUCAACGAUGAAUACUAGGUGUCGGGGAGCAUGGCUCUUCGGUGCCGUCGCAAACGCAGUAAGUAUUCCACCUGGGGAGUACGUUCGCAAGAAUGAAACUCAAAGGAAUUGACGGGGACCCGCACAAGCGGUGGAGCAUGUGGUUUAAUUUGAAGCAACGCGAAGAACCUUACCAAGUCUUGACAUCCUCCUGACCGGUCCUUAACCGGACCUUUCCUUCGGGACAGGAGAGACAGGUGGUGCAUGGUUGUCGUCAGCUCGUGUCGUGAGAUGUUGGGUUAAGUCCCGCAACGAGCGCAACCCCUAUCCUCAGUAGCCAGCAUUUAAGGUGGGCACUCUGGGGAGACUGCCAGGGAUAACCUGGAGGAAGGCGGGGAUGACGUUAAAUCAUCAUGCCCCUUAUGUCUUGGGCAACACACGUGCUACAAUGGACGGAACAAAGUGAGGCAAGACCGCGAGGUUAAGCAAAGCACAAAAACCCGUUCUCAGUUCGGAUUGUAGUCUGCAACUCGACUACAUGAAGCUGGAAUCGCUAGUAAUCGCGAAUCAGAAUGUCGCGGUGAAUACGUUCCCGGGCCUUGCACUCACCGCCCGUCA